rnacentral:rRNA from 1 species
CUACGGGAGGCUGCAGUGGGGAAUAUUGCGCAAUGGGGGAAACCCUGACGCAGCGACGCCGCGUGGAGGAUGAAGGCUUUCGGGUCGUAAACUCCUGUCAAGAGGGAAGAAACCUGCAAAGAAUAAUACGCUUUGCAAUUGACGGUACCUCUAGAGGAAGCACCGGCUAAUUCCGUGCCAGCAGCCGCGGUAAUACGGAAGGUGCAAGCGUUAAUCGGAAUCACUGGGCGUAAAGCGCUCGUAGGUGGCUUUGUAAGUCAGGUGUGAAAGCCCACGGCUCAACCGUGGAAUUGCACUUGAUACUGCAUCGCUAGAGUUCGGGAGAGGGUAGUGGAAUUCCAGGUGUAGGAGUGAAAUCCGUAGAGAUCUGGAGGAACACCAGUGGCGAAGGCGACUACCUGGACCGAUACUGACACUGAGGAGCGAAAGCGUGGGGAGCAAACAGGAUUAGAUACCCCCGUAGUC